UGUUAUAUUUUGAAAGCUAUAUAAAAGUCACUUCCACAUAUUUUGGAUAUUGAAUGAUAAAAACUCUGGAUCUAAAUUUCAUUGUAUCACUAAUCCAAUGCAAUAGAAUGUGAAUUCUUAAUCUAGAUAGUGAUUUUUAGACAUUAUUGUGUAUAAAUAACACCAGAGGGUUUAAUACAAUACAAGGAUACCUGAGACCCAUCAAGAUGAUCUCAGGUACAGACCAAGAAUAUGAAUUUUUUUUUCAGUUUUGCUUUUGGAUUAAUAUUUGCUGUCAGUUUCACAUCACAGGAAUUCAAAAGGAGUAUCUACUUCAUUCUAGAGGCAUCUGUGACCCUGCAUAAAGCAUAAUGGAGUCUCUGUGGGUCUUGAAGUGGUGAAACCUCCAUUCCCAAGGAAUAUGGAUUUUGAACAAGCACCACAAAUGAUGCUGAUUUUGUGGGUGAAGAAAGUGUGUCUCAGAGGAGUUAGAGAAGAUCAGUUAAUAAAUGACAAUGCUACAGCCUGGAACUCCUAUUUGGAUCCUGGAUCUCCUAUCUCACUCAGCCUGGGUGAGUAUUCUGUGUCUCUACUGCCUCUCCAGUGCCAGUCUGCCAGCCCUCAUCAAAAUUAUGAAGUAGAUGAAAAUGUCGUUUAAGUCUGGGAAGAAAAUUCUGAGACAUGUUCUACAGGAUGACUAUUAAGGCACAUCCUUGGUUUCAACACCCGUAGAAGGAAGCGGGGGGAAGAAGGAAGCAAACUGAGGAGAGACAGACUUUGAGAUGCAUUUCCGGCCAGGACACUAGGUUGAAUCCACGGGCGCUCUGGAGCUAAAAUGGCCCUUCAGAGUUGUCCUGAGCUGGGCUGAGAUGGCCAGUUCUUUAUGUUCCUGCAUGGGAUGGUCACUGGGUGUCCACCCCAGGAAGGGGUGCGGCCCAGGCAGUCCCUGAGAUGCCCGCCAGCACUCUCUACAUCUGGAGCAGCAAGACCAACAUCACAGGAGGAUGCGCUGGGUGAUGGAUCACAGUAUUCAUCCCAGAAGACAAGGAUACAGAAUUGGCUGCUGCUACUGUCUAAAUGUUAAUGUUCCCCAAAAUUCAUAUGUUGAAACUUAAUUCCCUAAUGUGAUGGCAUUAGAAAGUGGGGCCUUUGGGAGGGGCUGUAGGUCAUGAGGGUUACACCCUAAUCUUGGGGUGUAAGGAUUAGUAUCCAGGGAGCUGCCUUCCCCUUCCACCAAGUGAGGACAUAGUGAGAAGCUGCCAUCUAUGAACUAGGAAGUGGGUGCUUACCACCAGACAUCUAAUCCUCUGGCAACUUGAUCUUGAAUUUCUCAGCCUCCAGAGCUCUUGAGAAACCAAUUUCUGUUGAUUAUACGCCACCCAGUCUAUAGCAUUUUGUUAAAGCAGCUGGAACUAAACUAAGACACUGACAUUUUCUGCAACAAAAAGAGUGUCUCUAUAGCACACCAUGUAACAGAUGUUUUUGAAAAAAAUAAACUCAUUUCAUAUGUUUCCUCGAGAUAAAAAAAAAUAGCAUAACAACAAAUGAGAAAAUAGUUGCUUUAGAAAUAUUGCACCCUAUGGAGAGAGUAUUUUGGAUUUUUGUGUUUUUGUUGUUGUUUUUAACUUUUGUU